rnacentral:misc_RNA from 1 species
AGACACGGCAGUAUCGG